UGGAAAAUAAUUUAAUAGUAAAAUAUAAAUUUUGUAAAUUUAAAAUGUAAUUAUUACUUUUCCAA
rnacentral:tRNA from 1 species